AGGCUGAGCUCGUGCUGGGGAUGAGUGAAGUUUUGGAGGGUGAAGGGACACGUGGCGCAGUAUUCGUGGAGAUCGUAGUCGCAUGUUUCGCAUCGAUAGGUUUUGUCUGAGCCGUAGGUUUCGCAGCCGUCGCAGAUGAAGUCACGGGCGAUGUUCGUUUCCAUUAGUGGAUGGUUGUGCGUGAAAUGCUGAACGACGCGAUGUUUUGGAGCCAUCUUUACCGUUUUUGGUGUGUGUGUGUGUGUGUGUGUUCUUUUUUUAGAAUGGUUAGGAUUUGAGAGAAGAAACGGUGGUAUAUAUAAGAACGAAUACUUUUUGAGACGAAUCCAAACAUUGUUUCGGACAUAACUAAGAACUUUCGAUUACUCGUGCUUACAAAAGAGAACACUUUUGUUGACUUGUCCAGCUAAGGUUAACAUGCUCUAGAAAUGUGUGGUAGAGUAACUCAGUUGACUGACUAUGUAUGCCUUAACGGUCAAUGUGGCCUCUUCCUCAUAAUCACAUGCAUAUCCACAUUUCAUUGUCUUGAUGAUCACGGACUGCGCUUCAAUAUUCACAAGUAGAAUAUGGACUGGCUUAAAGUGAAAUGUUAAUCUCAAAAGUAAAAAAUUUUUAUACAAACUUAAAACUAUCAACUAAAAGACGACAAAUAAAACCUAUCAGUUAAAAAAUAUGUUAAGAGAUUAAUGUUUUAUGUAUGGAAUUGAUUUCUUAGUUUAGUUGUUGUGUUUUUUUCUGUUCCAGUUAAAGAUUUUUAUUUUGUCUAUAUAUCUUGUAGAAGUUUGAAAUAGUUCUGUUUGGUGAACUGGGGGUAAUUCUAUAGCUAGUGCGCACAGGCUGAGAGAAUUUGUAUAUUUUUUUAUUAAUGGUUUCUAAAUAGAAACUUAUAAAAGGUUUACUAAAACAUAUAAACAUUCCAAAGAAUUUCCAUUAAACACUUCAAAAAGUUAUUUGGACGCAAAUUAAAGAAAGGUGUGGCAUAUACCACAUACUUCUUUUUAGUAAUUUAAGUUCAUGAAUAUCAUUCAGCCAAACAUAAAAAUAAAAGAGAUGUGCCUCAACUCAAUUAAGAACAAAAGAAAGUUCUCCAGCCUAAAUCAUUUUUAAUGAACUUAAUAACUUUUCUAAAACCCUAUUUUGUUGACUCAAUAUUUUCUCCUAAUUGGUUGUCUAUAACAAUUUUUAUACUGUGGCUGAGCUAAUAAUUUGUUCGUUAAGAGCAAUUCUACUUCUUCUUCGAAAAGAUCUAUGACAUUAGACUCUUUUUUUGAUGCUAUUGUUACUAUAUUUUUCGAUAAAUUAUUUUAUUACAUACAAAAGAAUGUGUGUUUCGUAUUAAAUAAAUUUCUGGAUCCGCUCUGCUGUGUACCCCAUUUUAUUUGGACAUGCAUGUGGAAUAAGGUAGUUGUAAGGCCAAGAGAAAAGCCUUAAAAACACACGUACGAAUCCAACGGAAUACGUAGAUUCUCGGAAAUGUAGACCGAAAUGGUGAAUUCAUAAAAAUAAAUAAUUAAAAAGAGAAAAAUGGAAAUUGUGGAAAUUAAUAGUCCAACCAAAAGCUGUACCAAAACAUCCAAUGUAGUAAAUAGUUUGAAACAUCAAAAGAAAUCAAAAUAAAAUGAUGAGGAAAUUAUGGAGAUCAAAUAGAUGAGCAAAGAUAGACGAGUAGAUGAGCAAAAAUAUUUUAAAGUUGAAUGAGGUAUAAAUAUUGAUACUACUUGCCAGAGAAGUGGUUCAUAUGGGGCGCUAUUGAGAUAAUGAUGUAGAGAAUCUUAGUUUAUCUAGAUUUACCAUUAUCUUUAGUUCCCAUUUCUAUUCGGUUAAUGUUUUGCGUACUUGUAUAAACACUCUCUAGUUUGUGAAUUAAUAUACAACCAACUUUUUUAUACAAUUUAGUUUGGGAGCGGAGAAGGAAAACAAUUACCCUUCAGUAUCUUUCUUUCUUACAAAUUUGGAAUUUAUCACCCAUCUUUUUUUAUUCAAGAUCAUUUUCCAACGAAUUCGGUUAGUAUGAUCGUGAAUCUCUUUUGGACAAUCCCAAAUUGAUCCGAUGACACCGUAAGUUAUGUGGUUUAUUUGAAAAAAAACAAAUCCUAAUGGUCUUUUAAGGUACUUUUUAAUUUAAUUUAUUGUUCAAAACGAAAAAGAAAACAAACAUCACGAAUAUAUAAUGGCAGGAUGUUAAUUUCAAAAGCUGCCGCUAUUUAAGGGCUUCGGAGAUCGGUCCAGCGAUGAGAUUGCAAACAACCCCAACCGUUAGAGCCUUCAAAACCCUAAACAUUCUUCUUCCUAUACUUGGACGACGCGACGCCAAUGACGAUGAUUGUCCUCCCUGUGCCUUAAGCCCUCUGCUUUUAGUACCCGAUUCAUCGGUCUGGUUAGAAGGUGACGUGUUGCACACGGCUAAGAUACACUCAAUAUGAAUAUCGAACUUGCAGAGCUCACACCUAUACCUCCAAGAUUGGCACGAGCCUUGACAAACCAUACACGUGCUCUCUCCACCGAGGCGAAACUCCAAGUGAUGAGCAGGGUGAAGCACGUGCCUCACGUGCUGCGGCAGCUGCGUGCAGAGCGGAUGUACGUCGAACUCACAUAGCUUGCAUCUGUAGAACAAACCCUCGACGGACUCGUUGCAGAUGUCGCACACGCGUUCGUUCUGGCGCGUGGACUGCUUUUGACGGAAGAGGCUGAUCUCGUGCUGGGGAUGAGUGAAGUUUUGGAGGGUGAAGGGACACGUGGCGCAGUAUUCGUGGAGAUCGUAGUUGCAUGGCUCGCAUCUAUAGGUUUUGUCUGAGCCGUAGGUUUUGCAGCCGUCGCAGAUAAAGUCACAUGCGAUGUUCAACUCCGUUAGUGGAUGAUUGUGCGUGAAAUGCUGAACGGCGCGCGGUUUUGGUGUCUUUGAAGCCAUCUUUAGCGUUUUUGGUGU
rnacentral:lncRNA from 1 species